rnacentral:tRNA from 1 species
GCAUCCAUAGCUCAAUUGGAUAGAGCAGCUGACUACGGAUCAGCAGGUUUGAGGUUCGACUCCUCAUGGAUGCACCA